AUCCCAGAAUCCUUUGCGUAUCAUCCGCCGAGCUCAGCCGAAUCCAGCCGAGUACAGACGAUUCAGUUAAUGCAAGAUGGCCGCGACAAGCGUAAGGAAGCAGAGUUAUCAAUGGCCACCAGACAAAACACAAGCCCUGAUUCAUUUCAGGGCCACCAAUGAAGACAAGUUUACAAAAAGCAAGCAGGCUCCAAAAAAAACUAUGGGUGUGAGUAAUUUGUAACUUGUGAACUGUUCAUAUUCAUCACAUAAUUCUCAGUCACAACGACAACUGUUCCCCUAGUGAUCAAGCAUUCUGUUUCAAUAUGAAAUCAGCACAGCUGCAGUCGACAUUGUCGAGUUUGGUAACUGUACAUUUGUUUUGGAGCUGCCCCUAUACUGUCAUUGUUUGGAAAGAUUUUGUCGAGUAUAUUCGUUGCAACAUUUAUGUUCUAUUUUCACUACUGUGCAAAGAUGUGCUGUUUGGAUUUUAUGAUGUCAGCAUUUCAAAACAAAAACAAUUCUGUAUCAUUAAUCUAUUAUUUUAGCAAAAUUCCAUAUUCAUAAGAGUAAAUUUUGAAAAUAUGUAAAUAAUUUAAUUGUUUGAGCUGCUGAACUUUUUUUUAUUUAUUUAUUUGUUUAUUUUAUUUCUUUUUCUUUUCUCUUAACCCUGGCAUAUUUGUUCUGUUCAUGUCUGUCACUGCUUGUUUUGUACAAGAAUUGAAAUAAAGUGUUGGGAAAAAAACUCA